rnacentral:lncRNA from 1 species
AUAGUUGGCAGUGGGUGGAGGGGGGCGAGGGGGAUUAUUAUCCUCAUUUUACAGAUGAGGAAGCUCAAGUCCAGAGAGGUUAAAGUGACUUUUGUGAAUGUCACACCUCUGCUACAGUGCUCUAAUAAGCCCACUGCACCAAACUUCCAAAUUGGUAAGAUCAUGGCAUCCUUUUUCAGUGAAGAGUGUGUCCCGGAUGCAAAUAGCCAUUAAGUGGUUCAUAUGGUUCUGUGGUUGAGAUGGGCCCUAAGAAGCUGUGAUCUUUCCUCCCAUCUCAUGGUAACCUAGGGGUUAGAGGUAAGGCUACAGUCUGCAACUGAGGUCUGGACUCAGCCCAGGCAAGAACCAGAGACCCGGUCUCCUGGCCCCAGCCCAGUGUUAUUUCCACUCUGACACUGACCUAGGGCAAGGCCCUCCCAGUUUUUUCAGCCUCCCUAUCUGUAGUGAGAGGGUGUGGGAGAGAAAGCCUCUAGGGCCCCUUCCAGGGUCCAGGCUGUAGCUGUGAUCAGUUCUGAGCUCAGGAUGUGAAGGUGAAGAAUGAGAGCAGGAAGUUCCAGGCUCCAGGGGGUGGGGCAGGCCCCACCAGGGGAGGCAGAGGGCACAGAAGCCACCCCUGACCGACUUCACAAGAUAAGGCCCACCCUCACCUCCCCACUUCCUCCUCUCCAGCCCCAGGGUCUCCUUUGCUUCCACAUCUUGUUGACUUUUGAAUUUACAAGGUGUGCCAGUUGCCAAGGCCCCUGGUUGAUUACACCCCCGGACCUGCCUUAGGAAAGCAUCCUCCUCUCCAAGCCCCCACCAGCAACUGGGAGGUGAGGCUGGGAACGCAAGAUGGGAUCUCUCAGGUGCUGGAAAGAAAUUAAAGAGGAAACUUAUCAAAAAGAGGAUGGAAGAGAGAAAGCAAAGGAGGUGCUUUACGUGAUCCUGGGGCUGGGAGAUUCUGCAUGGGAACUGAGCUGGAGAAAAGAUCAUUCAAGGAAGAUAGCCUCGUCUUUUGGCGGUCACUGCACAGACUCUGUCUUUAUAGUGCUUAAAUAAAAAGCAGGAGGUUUCAUAUUUAAAUUGUUUAUCUUCGGCUAGUUCUUCUACAGAGCUUUGGGAUGAAUUCAUUCCGAAGGCAAUAUUUUCUAAAUUACCAGGCUGACUCUGAAGCCGACUUUGUUUUGCUUUUGGUUUAUUCCUAAAUGUAAUAGAAUCCCAAGUGUUAAUCUCCAGUUGAUACCUAACCAUCCUCUUCCACUAUGCUGUCCCGGUGGGGAUUUAUGACUGGGUGAUGAGCCACCACGUCUCUCUGAACCCCGAUGAGGACAUGGAUAACAUCAUCAACUCAUCACUGAACCAUCGUCAUCAACCCAGCUUUAAUCCCCAAGACUGAUAACCAUCGGAGGCUGUUAAUUCCCAGCAAAUUAUCUAAUCCACAUGUUGUCCGAUCUGUGUAAACCCAGCCCAUGAGGAUCAUAAAAUAAAUAAGCAUGAAAUGGCUUACAGUUUCGAAUCUCCUUUCACCUAGAUAGGCCAGGCUGCAUGAUUGCAGCCACUGUCGUGGCUCCCACCUCCUUCCAAGAGGGAAUGGGCAGCAUGGGUUCCUAUGUGGGCCUGCUUGAUGCUGUUUCUA